rnacentral:rRNA from 1 species
AUGGAUGCUCAGUCCAUAAAUCUGGUGAUGUCAGUGGCUAAGUCUGUUCAUAUCCAACUUGCAAAUGCAGUUCAUGACAUCACCGCAUGCGAGAAGUCUUUUGUCCCUGUGAUACUAGAUCAUGGGUGGGCUGCAUACAUGUGGGACAUGCUGAGGAAGGAAAUUCAUGUCCUGGAUCCAUUGUGUGCACAAGUUGCUGGAGCUGAGCAACGUCAUAUGACCCAUCAGGAGGCUGUUUCACAGAUUCACACAGCAUUAUUCAGUUGUCUUAAUGAGUUCUUCACGAAAUGGCGUUGUUCAGCUGAGAAGUGGAAGCGCAAGUUCCCCAGAAUAACACGUGAUGUUUUCACAAGGGAUGAGUCUGGAGUGUGUAUGCUUCAUGCAAUCCGGCAGUACGACGGGAACAAGAUGAUGUGA